rnacentral:rRNA from 1 species
GGGAGCUUGCUCCCGCUGACGACCGGCGCACGGGUGCGGAACGCGUAUGGAACCUACCUCAAUCAGGGGGAUAGCCCAGGGAAACUUGGAUUAAUACCCCAUAGUAUUAUUUGAUUGCAUGAUUGAAUAAUUAAAGGUUACGGAUUGAGAUGGCCAUGCGUAUCAUUAGCUAGUUGGUAAGGUAACGGCUUACCAAGGCAACGAUGAUUAGGGGCCCUGAGAGGGGGAUCCCCCACACUGGUACUGAGACACGGACCAGACUCCUACGGGAGGCAGCAGUGAGGAAUAUUGGACAAUGGUCGCAAGACUGAUCCAGCCAUGCCGCGUGCAGGAUGACUGCCCUAUGGGUUGUAAACUGCUUUUGUACGAGAAGAACACCCUCUUCGUGAAGAGGACUGACGGUAUCGUACGAAUAAGGACCGGCUAACUCCGUGCCAGCAGCCGCAGUAAUACGGAGGGUCCGAGCGUUAUCCGGAAUCAUUGGGUUUAAAGGGUCCGUAGGCGGGCUAUUAAGUCAGAGGUGAAAUUGUGCAGCUCAACUGUAGAACUGCCUUUGAUACUGAUAGUCUUGAGUUAUGGUGAGGUAGCCGGAACAUGUGGUGUAGCGGUGAAAUGCAUAGAUAUCACAUAGGACGCCGAUUGCGAAGGCAGGUUACCAACCAUAUACUGACGCUGAUGGACGAAAGCGUGGGGAGCGAACGGGAUUAGAUACCCCGGUAGUCCACGCCGUAAACGAUGGAUACUAGCUGUUGGGUUUUCGGACUCAGCGGCCAAGCGAAAGUGAUAAGUAUCCCACCUGGGGGAGUACGUUCGCAAGAAUGAAACUCAAAGGAAUUGACGGGGGCCCGCACAAGCGGUGGAGCAUGUGGUUUAAUUCGAUGAUACGCGAGGAACCUUACCAGGGCUUAAAUGGGAGAUGACAGGAGCAGAGACGCUCUUUUCUUCGGACAUCUUUCAAGGUGCUGCAUGGUUGUCGUCAGCUCGUGCCGUGAGGUGUCAAGUUAAGUCCUAUAACGAGCGCAACCCCUACCGUUAGUUGCCAGCAUGUAA